UUGAAAGGGAAACGAUUGAAGUCAGUCGUACCGGUGGGUAAUCAGCCUUUCGGCGUGAUUAUGUGGAGCGUGAGGAGUUAAACGCCCUCAUGGCCUGAAUAUUCGUGUUCUUUGGGUGUACUUACCCGCAUGGUAGGUUAACAUCAAUUUCGAACGUCAUAAAAUGGUUGGAGGAAUGUAGCUUCGAUCUCGUAUUGAAGUGUUAUAGACUCCGGCAGAUGUGAUGAUCGGGAUUGAGGAUUGCAACGGAUACCCUUCGGGGCUACCCGUCUGAUCUCUGAAAGUUGCUCUGGUGCCGAAAGCUCGCUUACGGUCAUCAAAGUUGACGUUCAACAGGUUAGAACGGGAUCCAUAUGACUAGUAGAUCCUCUAGAGUCGACCUGCAGGCAUGCAAGCUUUCCCUAUAGUGAGUCGUAUUAGAGCUUGGCGUAAUCAUGGUCUGGCCUNGUUUUCCUGAA
rnacentral:rRNA from 1 species